CUUCACAGUUAAGCGUGCUUGAGC
rnacentral:siRNA from 1 species